rnacentral:lncRNA from 1 species
GAGACGAAGAAGAAGAAAAGAAAGAAAGAAGGAGGAAGAAGGAAGGACAAGGAAGCUGGGCUGCCAUCACUAGCAGAUGGAGGAGGAGCUUCUUUGGGAGGUGGGGAAGAUGGACGGAGGAAGACCUGAUGCUGAUGGGUGCAGCAGCAAUGAUGGCAGCAGCUAACAAAGGCGGUAGGGAGUAGAAAACGAGGAGGACGACAAUAGUUUCUCGCCGCCAUGCAGGGCAUUUCUAGUGUCCAUUUAUGGUGGUUCUGGUCUCAAAACGACCAAUAACUUGUGGGCUUUCAUUUUUCCCCAUCAUCAUCCCCUAAGGCUGCCAAAAUAAAAGGAGAUCAUGUGGACAAUUCAGGUUUCUCUUGAUUUUCGGCCACUUCUGGCAAGUUAGAGUUGAUCAGAACUCACAGAUGAACUCCCCUUGUCACAAGCUUUCAAAUGGCACCAAUUUCGCGUUGAUCGGACUCCAUUGAAAAAUUGAUGUAUCGAGAUGAUCGGGGACUGGGUCGGAGAAAUAGAAGCUAGAUUCAUUCUCUAUGCAUUAUUUUGAAUCUGUAGACAUGUUUGGACUGUCGAUCGGACUCCGGUAACUGGAGGCAAAUAGAUUGAUUUAGCACAAUUCUGGGUAAAAUAUUGGUUGUUGAUCGGUUCUUUUUUUAUCUAAAUUGUUAGUUAUAAAUUUAAGAUUUGUUAAUUAGAAAUUAUGAUAUGUGAAAAGAAAUGUUGGUUAGAG